rnacentral:tRNA from 1 species
GGUGGCACAGUGGUAGAGCACUUGCCUUGCAUGCAUGAGGCCCUGGGUUCAAUUCCUCAGCACCA